rnacentral:rRNA from 1 species
UUACUGGGCGUAAAGCGUACGUAGGCGGACUAGUCAGUCAGAGGUGAAAUCCCGGGGCUCAACCCCGGAACUGCCUUUGAUACUGCUAGUCUUGAGUUCGAGAGAGGUGAGUGGAAUUCCGAGUGUAGAGGUGAAAUUCGUAGAUAUUCGGAGGAACACCAGUGGCGAAGGCGACUGACUGGACUAUUUCUGACGCUGAGGUGCGAAAGUGUGGGGAGCAAACAGGAUUAGAUACCCUGGUAGUCCACACCGUAAACGAUGAGAGCUAGUUGUCUGCAGGCAUGCCUGUAGGUGACGCAGCUAACGCAUUAAGCUCUCCGCCUGGGGAGUACGGCCGCAAGGUUAAAACUCAAAGAAAUUGACGGGGGCCCGCACAAGCGGUGGAGCAUGUGGUUUAAUUCGAUGCAACGCGAAGAACCUUACCUACUCUUGACAUACUAGAAACUUUUCAGAGAUGAAUUGGUGCCUUCGGGAAUCUAGAUACAGGUGCUGCAUGGCU